rnacentral:rRNA from 1 species
CCUACGGGAGGCAGCAGUGGGGAAUAUUGGGCAAUGGGCGCAAGCCUGACCCAGCAACGCCGCGUGAAGGAAGAAGGCUUUCGGGUUGUAAACUUCUUUUAAGAGGGAAGAAUAGAAGACGGUACCUCUUGAAUAAGCCACGGCUAACUACGUGCCAGCAGCCGCGGUAAUACGUAGGUGGCAAGCGUUGUCCGGAUUUACUGGGUGUAAAGGGCGUGUAGGCGGGCCUGCAAGUCAGAAGUGAAAUCUGGGGGCUUAACCCCCAAACUGCUUUUGAAACUGUGGGUCUUGAGUGAUGGAGAGGG